rnacentral:lncRNA from 1 species
GUUGCUUUUAUAAUUAAAGUAUGUAAUAAUGAUAUUUGUAACUUUAAAUGCAAUGAAUCUGCCUUAUGGGUAACAAAAUAAGAGUUUGUCUAACCCUUGUGGUUCAAAGUUUAAGAGAUAAGAUACAAAGAAUGCAAACCAAUAUUAACUGGAUCAAAAAAGAGAUUUUACUUCAUGUGAUUGAUUGAUAGGAAAUAAAUUGCUAACUCAAUAAAAAUUGUUUCUUUUGCAGAACUCUUUUUGCCCAACAGAAUGUGGACAGCAGAACUGCUUUAUAAAUUGGGAGGAAGGCACACCUGGAAGAUGGUGAUGCCAGCACAAUGGGAAAUGUGCCAGUGUGUAGAAUUCUUCUCUGGUCUUUGUAAAUAGAAAUGCUCACUUUCUAUGUGAAACACCUAAAUGAUUCGAUGCCAAACGCAGAAUAAGUUUAAAGGUAGAACAAGCAAAUAGCUAAACAAGGGAGUGUUUCAGAAAGGAAAUAUGUCAAGCCUUGGCUCAAAAGCAAAACAGUCUUUUCAUGAAGGGAAGUGUUCACAGCAUCUAUUAAAUGCAUACUCAGUCACAAAAAUAAAACCCAUCUGUUUAAUAUUAACAUUUGUAAUAAACAUUUUAAAAAAAGGAAUGUAGAAGGCAAAAAUGUAUUGUAAAACAAAAUGUACACUCUUGGGAUAACUAAAACUUCCUCUGAAAGAAUUGCAGUACUCUAAAGCUUGUUCUUUAUACCAAAAGCAAUAACAAUUAGUUGCAUGACACUGCAAUAGCAGAGGCAUAUUCUGCCCUUUGAGAGGACAGGAUAUUAAUCUGAAAAUUGAGCAUACGCUCCCAUAGUAUAGAAUGCCAAACUUCCUUGGAUGCAACUUGCCAAAGCAAAAUUAUACACCUGAAGUGUGUCCUAAAAUUUAGAGACAGAAAUGAUGUAUUUUAAAAUCAUGACUUAGAUAUUUGAAAGUUUUUGGCUACAUUAGGAAGCUAAUUGUCAUGUACUUCGAUACAGAAUCAAGAUGUACUAAUUUUUAUUGGUACACUGGCAUUAAAUGAAUGUGUAGCAUAUGUUUAAAAGGAUGUAUCUGAGAAGCAAGGAUGAGGGUAAUAGAAUACUAAAGUCUAAACUGAGGGUCGCUUCAAUAUUUUAUUAGCCAUUUUAUGCAUAUGAACACAGACCAUAUUAGAUACUUAGCAAGUAGGGGAAAAAAACCUGUUUCUAUCAGGGGAAGGAUUAUCUCUAUUGAGAAACACAUGUUAAUAGGUCUGUCUAGUUCGGAAGAAGCUGCCUCUCUUGGUCAACAUUGGAUGAUGUGGAGCUGUUCUAUCCAAUAUAACAAGCACUAGCCACAUACAGCUAUUGAAAUGUACAUGGUAAAUUAAUUAAACUCUAAUGUCAUGUUUAAUUCUUUAAGUGCUUAAUAGCCAUAUACAAUUAGUGGCUACCAUACUGUGUAGUGCAGAUUACAGAGCAUUUCCAUCAUCAUAGAACGUUCUAUUGUAUAGGACCGGUCUGGGUAAAGUUUGGGAGAUAGAGAAACUACUCCAUGGGAAUCUUGGAUUUAGGGGCGAGUAAAACUUUCACAAAGUGGCAAGGAGAUCUGAACAGAGAGGCAAAAAUUGCAGUGUCGUGAGAAGCCAGAAUCUUGUCAGAAAAGAGAGACUGUUGGCUAUAGAAAUGUCUGAAGUGUUUUUUCAAAACCGAAUACCUGAGAUUAAAUGUAAACUGCUCCACCUCCUCCCACUGAUACCUUUUGUUACAAAUCUUCAGGAAACCUAGAAUGGAACAACACAGCAAGGGCUGCUGCCUGGGCAUUAGAAAUAGAACACCACACCCAAUGGCUAAAGCUGGUGGCCAGAGAUAAGAACUUAGAGGCAUCUCUCCUGCCUAGCAGACUGGGCCCUGUGUUUUCCCGCCACUUCCUUUAAAUAAACCAUUCAGGCACUUGCCUGUAAACUGAAAGUGAUCCAUAUUCUGCUAGCUGCCACUCUCUCUUUCUCUCUGCCUGACCUUUCAUUCCUGCCUUGCGUGACCGAGGGAUGGAGGGCUGCCCUCCAGAUUCAUUGCACCCUCCCUGCCCAAGGCCUUAAGCAAAAAGCUUUGACUUUGCUUGUUUUUGUGGUGGUGUAUUGAAUUUUCACCUUCCAUCUGAAGAACUGGGGACUACCCUAGGCUAGAUUUUCCAAGGGAGGCCAGGACGAACACAAGAGCAGUCUCCCAGUACUAAGGCCAUGGUCAGGUAGGCAUAAACUGGACACAGGUCAGGCAAGAGUCUCAAGGAUGUCUGCCAAUAUAACCAAGUUCCCCAUGUGAGGGACAUCCUGGUCUCAGGUCAGACAGCUAGGCACUAAGCCAUCUGCUAGGUGAAAGAAGUGUCCUGUGAAAGGCUCCUUUUCGUUUCCUGUUAGGGCAGGAUUGCUAGCCUCUCUGGUACUGGAACCACAGUUUAGCUAGGGGCUCUCAAAACAACUCUCCUCCACACAUAGCCAUGGGUCAACGGUAUCUGGGGUAGUAUGGGUCAGUGUCAUAAUCAGCAGAUGCAAUGAAGCAUGGAUAUUAGAAAUUCAAUAGAAAUAGCAACUUAAGGUCAGAGGUAACCAGGAAAGAAAAAUAAGACACCGGCCCCACCUCAGUACCCCAACAUAGCCAUAAGAAAUGAUCUCCAGAGAACUGUCGAAAGCAACUUGUAUUAAAUUAAUCUAAGGCAACUUCAGUUGGUUGUAGAAUUACUUCAAUUAUCCAAUUGAUACAAGUUACACACAUGUGGAAAAAAUUACAAAUUACUAUUCCUUUGUCUUUAUUUCCUGACAAACAAUAAACAUUUUCUUAGGCAUUAAGAAGGAUAAAGUAAAGAACCCAAAUGCAUUCUCCUCUAUUUAUUCAGCGCAGAAAAGGCUUAGGUUAAAAAGUCCUAGAGAUAAUUUUUAUGAGGUGGAAAUUUCUUGAUUGACAAUGAGAGAUUGAUCAUGGAAACUUCCUCUUACCUUUCUUUUAUCUUUGCGAGCUCUUUGCUGCUGUUUUCAGAUGUGUUAGGAAUAGAGAUAAACUUCUGGCAGGCCUAUUUUGUGAGGUAGAUAUUCUAGCUCAGAAUAAAGUGAAGGUUUAUGUCACCAGAUUUCUUGGUCAAUACUAGGAAGACGUUUAGCUUCUUGGGUGGGUGCAAGAGUAACUGACUGUUCUUUUGUUUUCCAGAAACCAGUCACAUCCACCAUAUUAAACAAGAAUUUGUUAUUUAUUUGUGGAUUUUUUAAGUCUUUUGGUCAGCCCUGCAAAUAAUAAAGACUUCUAAAAUUAAAGGAAUACCAAAAUAACUAUGGCAUUUCCUUAGUUAAGCAUAAUGGCUUCUUCAGAGCAGACUCACUGCAUAAACACUGAACAUAUUCUUUCCCUCCAGUAACAUCUGUGAACAAGUUUACCACUUGGGAAAACGAGAGACUAGUAACUAUGUCCAGACACGGUUGGGCACAGGUGCUUCAACAAACCAUUCCACAAAUACACCCCAGUUCCGACAAGUGAGCUAUUUCUGACUGAUCCUUUGAGACUUCCAGUCACACUGUGUGUUUGGCCUGGGAGCAGGUGACCCACUGGCAGGGCAGUCAGCAUCAUCAGCUCAGGGGAUGGACUUUACUGGCAGAGUGCCUUCCCUAAACAUAUUGACUCUCCCAACAGAGAACGGCAGCCCAGCGAUUUAUUAAAAGCAAUUGUGUAUUUCCUUGGUCUAGCCAAACAUUUGGUGCAUGUUACACAACCCUCUAAGACCAAGCUUCAGUCUGACUCUGAAGAAAAGCUGUCCCCCACUAGCCCAAAUUAUAAUGAACCUCUGAUCUCCCACAGUGACCAAUUUCUGGGAUGUUCAUUGGUACUUAAUCAUGUACUGCCUUGUGAGAGGUACUUCUUCCACUUGUAAUGAAAUUUUUUUAUUUUCCUCAUUUAAAACGUUUGCAAUUUACCCCUGUUAAAUUAAAUUUAUGGGAUGGCAUUGUCUUGAAUUCAGCUUGUACACAAGGCCCCAAGAGACCAGCCCAGCCCAGAAUGGAGUCAUGUGUGCUAGGUGCCACAUAAUCAAACUGAUCAUGGCUUUUAAAAAGCCAGUUUAAACAACAACGAAAACAAACCAGAUUUUCAGCAACCAGUCCAAACAGGUCCAGUCACCGUAAGCUGGCAUGAUAAGGAAACUUUCUCUUCCUUAACCCUGUAAGGAAAGUAACUUUUAAACAAUGAAUCCACAUUUUGUUUCUUGUUUUAUGUUCUUCAGCCUUUCUGUCUAUAAAGCCUACUCCCUCUGCUCAGCUCAUUCGAAUGUCUUUCUGUUUUGUAGAUGGAAUGCUGCCUGAUUCACAAAACACUAAUAAAAAAGAAUUUGAUCUUUGAAACACAACUUGCUGAAAUUUUGUUCUUUGACACCCUUAACUA